GGCGAACGCUCCCUCCGCCGCAAAGAUGCCCCCUUCCGCUGGAAAGCGGUCAUAAAAGCCACCUGGGGUAUCAUUUAUCAACCUCUCUCCAGCCCACUCUUCCAAAAUAAUACUACAGUUUCCUACAUGUGUAUUUUUGCCAGGACUCCAAAGAGCCUUGCUAAAGUGGAACAAGGAGUAGAGAAUUGAACUGUGAAAAAGAAGCCCGAGAUCCCCCAGCGAAAUAGUGUUGCAGCCCCGUUGAAGGAGUCAACUUGCAGGCUGUUAAAGACCUCAAGUCAUUAGAAUCAGCUGCUGCACUAAAGGGGCAAGUCAGCGCCUCUAAGUGGCUUAGCGCACAAACGAGGCUCCCGAGACGGCCUCGGCAACUCCAUCCCCUCCUCCACCACCCGCUGGAUGUGAAAAGCUUUCCGGAGCCCAUCUUGGGGGAAGCUUGGUAGUGUUGGCACUCCUGAAGAGAGACGACGCCCGUUUAUCACCCCCAGGCAACUAGCUGCGCAAAUCAGCCGUGGCUCCAGGGCUAGAGAAUCCCUGGAGCUAACCGCACCCCUCUCCCUUUCACCGAAUGCGAACUCCGGGGAAAUACGCACGGGGUCCGCACGCGCUGGGUGUCCAGCUCUCUGUCAUAGCUUCUCCAAGUGCCUAGUCAAACGGGGAA
rnacentral:sRNA from 1 species